GGAACUGAAAUCUGCAGCUUGCUGUGAAUGGUUCACAAUCUCAAGACCUUUUGGGAUUCUUCAAUGCUUCUGGAUGAUCAGGCAGAUACUGCAGCCAAUAUUGCAUUUUCAUCUAUCUGCACUCGUUGCCCUAAAACAAAUUGCAUAUCAGUUGCAAACAAUAUCUUCAGACAGUGAGGGGGGAAGAAAGAAGAUCUGCAUCUCAGCAAACAACAGCAUAUUGCCUCUUCCCCACCAGACUCCAUGUCUCCUUGCUCUCAGCUGGAACAAACUUUAUCUAGGGGUCACUCUCAGGAAAAAUACAUUUCAAAGAGUGGCUGAUCUAUAAAAGUGACAGGAACAACCACCCCAAGUUCUCUCUCCCUACCCAUCUCUCUCUUUUCACCUAAGAAAACAAAAGAAACAGCCAUUGGAUUUCAGGAGCAGAUCCUGGCCUUAGAGUUCUGUCAGCUACAUAUUGAAACAUGAACCAAGUCUAGUUUGUUAAGUUUAGAAAUCAUUUUAUCUUUA